rnacentral:misc_RNA from 1 species
CAAAACGAGUGCUUCGGCUCUCCAACCCAUUGUGAACUUACCUAUCGUUCCCUCGGCGGGCUCAGCGCGCGGCCGGCCUCCGGGCCACCGGGCGUCCGCCGGGGACAACCAAACCCGAAUUUUUCGUGUAUAUCUGAGGGGCGAAAGCCCGAAAACAAAAUGAAUCA